ACAUCACGUUGAAACACCGGUUCUUGUAUAAUCACCGAAGUUAAGCAACAUGGAACCUGGUUGGUACUUAGAUCGGUGUCCGCUUGGGUAUACUAGAUGCUGUAAG